UACGGAGGGUGCAAGCGUUAUCCGGAUUCACUGGGUUUAAAGGGUGCGUAGGUGGGCAAGUAAGUCAGUGGUGAAAUCUCCGGGCUUAACCCGGAAACUGCCAUUGAUACUAUUUGUCUUGAAUACUGUGGAGGUCAGCGGAAUAUGUCAUGUAGCGGUGAAAUGCUUAGAUAUCUGGAGGAAUACCGGUGGCGAAGGCGGCAUCCUGGACCGACAUUGACGCUGAACGGCGAAAGCUAGGGGAGCAAACGGG
rnacentral:rRNA from 1 species